rnacentral:rRNA from 1 species
GUGGAGCAUGUGGCUUAAUUUGACUCAACGCGGGAAAUCUUACCGGGUCCGGACACACUGAGGAUUGACAGGCGGACGCCAGUGUCCUGUUUCGGCAGCCCUGGCUACAAAUAUGCUAGUCCUUUCAUGAUUGUGUGAUAGGUGGUGCAUGGCCGUUCUUAGUUCGUGGAGUGAUCUGUCUGCUUAAUUGCGUUUCAGUUUAUGGACUCAAAACUCCGAUGAGAGCGGUGACCUCCGCUGCGCCUCGGUGCGCGGAGUUGUCCCUUCUCUCGGUAUGCAGUCCUUGAAGGCAACGAACGUGACCG